GAGUUUCGCGACGGCCCACCUCCUCCCGGGUCCUAGCGGAUACGGGGCUGCCACUCCUCCUCCCAAUCGGCAGUCUCACCUAAGUCGCCCGCCGGGUCCUCCCCCCGGCGGGCGCACAGA
rnacentral:sRNA from 1 species